rnacentral:lncRNA from 1 species
GAAUGAUGUGCUGUGACAGGCUGGCAGAAGUAACGCUAGUGAGAGGGAAAGAUGUGCUCUGACAGGCUGGCAGUAGUAACGCUAGUGAGAGGGAAUGAUGUGCUCUGACAGGCUGGCAGAGGUAUGACCACUACGCCGUGCUGUGCGAGCUGUUGCCUGCUGCUGUGCCGUGCGUCGUGCUGUGCCUUAACGUGCUGGAAGCUGGCGAGUUCACCUCUCCCAUCCACUGGGCGGCGUCCCGCGCACUGGGCUCCUCCUCUCUUCUCGCACUCUCGCCUGCCUUCAGGCCGCAGCCCGUCGAGGCUGACCUGCAGUUCCCGGGCGCCGCCCUACACGCCGCCCUGCAGGCCUGGGCCAACCUCAGAGCAGCCUGCAGCGCCCACGCCAACUCUGAGAUAGUGACGGGCUGGUAUCACAGCUACCGGCGACGUCUGAGGUCCGUGGCGCCUG